GGGGCACCGUUCUCAGAGUCGCGGGAAUAUGGCGGACGCAUGGUUGGGACCCCUGAUAAUCAUGGCAAAGCCUCUCCUCCUCCACACUCCCAAUUUCACCUUCUUAUUCUCUUUCAAUUCAAAACGCAAAUCCAAACCUCUCUCCAUGGCUGCCUCCCUUCAAUGCUCUUCUUCCACCCCCAUCUCAAGCCCUAUGCCCAACCAGCCUUCUCUUCUCGUCUUCUCAGGUGGUACUGCAUUUAAUGGAGUUGUGGAGGAGCUUAAGAAUUUAACUACUCGCAUUGCUCAUGUUCUGCCUGUUUCUGACGAUGGAGGCAGUACCGCUGAGAUUGUCCGUGUGCUUGGUGGUCCUGCUGUUGGAGACAUUCGGUCAAGAUGUUUAAGAUUGUCUGAUCAAAGUACUGCUGAGGCUCUUGCCGUCCGAAGAUUGCUUGGUCAUCGUUUACCUCUUGAAGCGCCUCAAGCCAAGUCAGAAUGGUAUGAUAUUGUAGAAGGAGAACACCCUUUAUGGACAGGUGUAUCAAGACCAUACAGAGAAACAAUUCGAGCUUUUCUGGUUUAUUUCCAAAAUGAGGAUUCGGGGAAGGAGCAGAGCCAUCGAAGAAGGAGCAGCGCCAUCGGGGAAGGGAGGCUAAUUGGCAGAGCAUUGGAUGGGGAAGGAAGCAGAGACCAGUCACCUCCCAUCGCCGGCACGCUGCUGCACCAC
rnacentral:misc_RNA from 1 species